rnacentral:SRP_RNA from 1 species
UUCCGGACUCCGUGCAAUGAGCGGCUGCAAACCCCGCCAGGUCCGGAAGGAAGCAACGGUAGCAGUUUAACUUGUGUGCCGCGGAUCACCCGGGGCCU